AUUGAACGCUGGCGGCACGCCUUACACAUGCAAGUCGAACGGUAACGCGGGGCAACCUGGCGACGAGUGGCGAACGGGUGAGUAAUGCAUCGGAACGUGCCCAGUAGUGAGGGAUAACUGCUCGAAAGAGCAGCUAAUACCGCAUACGACCUGAGGGUGAAAGCGGGGGAUCGCAAGACCUCGCGCUAUUGGAGCGGCCGAUGUCAGAUUAGGUAGUUGGUGGGGUAAAGGCCCACCAAGCCAACGAUCUGUAGCUGGUCUGAGAGGACGACCAGCCACACUGGGACUGAGACACGGCCCAGACUCCUACGGGAGGCAGCAGUGGGGAAUUUUGGACAAUGGACGCAAGUCUGAUCCAGCCAUGCCGCGUGCGGGAAGAAGGCCUUCGGGUUGUAAACCGCUUUUGUCAGGGAAGAAACGCUCUGGGUUAAUACCUCGGGGUAAUGACGGUACCUGAAGAAUAAGCACCGGCUAACUACGUGCCAGCAGCCGCCGUAACAC
rnacentral:rRNA from 1 species